UACGUAGGGCGCAAGCGUUGUCCGGAAUUAUUGGGCGUAAAGAGCUCGUAGGUGGUCUGUUGCGUCCGCUGUGAAAACCCAGGGCUUAACCCUGGGCUGGCAGUGGAUACGGGCAGACUAGAGGUAGGUAGGGGAGAAUGGAAUUCCCGGUGUAGCGGUGAAAUGCGCAGAUAUCGGGAGGAACACCGGUGGCGAAGGCGGUUCUCUGGGCCUUACCUGACACUGGGGAGCGAAAGCGUGGGGAGCAAACAGG
rnacentral:rRNA from 1 species